CUGCAGGAUCUGACUGGGGCACACCCGCCUGCACUCCCAGAGCAGUUGGAAGCAGCUCUCCCUGGCACUACCUGCCACGUUUAUAAAGCUGGCCUCAAGAGGAAGCAUUGGCUUAUGGACAUGCCGAAACUAGAGUUGCCUACUUGAGCAGCAUUCUAUUGGCCAUGCCAUUUGGACCAAGAUGCCAUAGCAUUUAUCUCAUCUACCAAGAUCCACAUAAGAGUUUUAGUGCCAGUGAUUCUGAGUUUUAGUGCCAGUGAUUCACAACCCCAGUGAUUCUGCUUGGCUUUAUAUUUACUUUCUAUAUAUCUAUACUUGUCUCAGCUAGUACGGUCUGUUAUUAUAGCUUGAAUAACCUCCAGACCAGCUAAUCUCACACUGACUUAACAUGAUUAUUACAUUUGUAUAACCACUACUCACAUUGUCUUGCAGCUCUUCCUGAUUUUAGUGUCAAAUUAGCUCAGCAGUUAGACAUGUAUAUCUAGCCUAAGCAUUGUCUUAGAAUGAUCCAUAUUUUCUGAUGAAAGAUCGGUUUGAGCCUAAUGUUACAGACAAGUAUACUUAGCC